AUUGAACGCUGGCGGCAGGCCUAACACAUGCAAGUCGAACGAGUGGCGGACGGGUGAGUAAUGUCUGGGAAACUGCCUGAUGGAGGGGGAUAACUACUGGAAACGGUAGCUAAUACCGCAUACCAUCAGAUGUGCCCAGAUGGGAUUAGCUAGUAGGUGGGGUAACGGCUCACCUAGGCGACGAUCCCUAGCUGGUCUGACAGGAUGAUCAGCCACACUGGAACUUAGACACGGUCCAGACUCCUACGGGGGCCAGCAGUGGGGAAUAUUGCACAAUGGGCGCAAGCCUGAUGCAGCCAUGCCGCGUGUAUGAAGAUGGCCUUCGGGUUUUACAGUACUUUAAGCGGGGAGGCGUUACCCGCAGAAGAAGCACCGGCUAACUCCGUGCCAGCAGCCGCGGUAAUAC
rnacentral:rRNA from 1 species